rnacentral:rRNA from 1 species
CCUACGGGUGGCAGCAGUGAGGAAUAUUGGUCAAUGGGCGUGAGCCUGAACCAGCCAAGCCGCGUGAGGGAAGAAGGUACAGCGUAUCGUAAACCUCUUUUGUCAGGGAACAAAGGCGGGGACUAGUCCCCGGAUGAGGCGACCCGAAGAAAAAGCAUCGGCUAACUCCGUGCCAUCAGCCGCGGGAAUACGGGGGAUGCGAGCGUUAUCCGGAUUUAUUGGGUUUAAAGGGUGCGGAGGCGGCAUGUUAAGUCAGCGGUAAAAACCCGGGGCUAAAACCCGGCGAGCCGUUGAAACUGGCGGGCUGGAGUGGGAGAGAAGUACGCGGAAUGCGUGGUGUAGCGGUGAAAUGCUUAGAUAUCACGCAGAACCCCGAUUGCGAAGGCAGCGUACCGGCUCCACACUGACGCUGAGGCACGAAAGCGUGGGUAUCGAACAGGAUUAGAUACCCCAGUAGUC